rnacentral:rRNA from 1 species
GAGUUUGAUCGUGGCUCAGAUUGAACGCUGGCGGCAGGCCUAACACAUGCAAGUCGAGCGGAUGAAGGGAGCUUGCUCCUGGAUUCAGCGGCGGACGGGUGAGUAAUGCCUAGGAAUCUGCCUGGUAGUGGGGAUAACGUCCGGAAACGGGCGCUAAUACCGCAUACGUCCUGAGGGAGAAAGUGGGGAAGUCUUCGGACCUCACGCUAUCAGAUGAGCCUAGGUCGGAUUAGCUAGUUGGUGGGGUAAAGGCCUACCAAGGCGACGAUCCGUAACUGGUCUGAGAGGAUGAUCAGUCACACUGGAACUGAGACGCGGUCCAGACUCCUACGGGAGGCAGCAGUGGGGAAUAUUGGACAAAUGGGCGAAAAGCCUGAUCCAGCCAUGCCGCGUGUGUGAAGAAGGUCUUCGAUUGUAAAGCACUUUAAAGUUGGGAGGAAGGGCGAGUAAGUUAAUACCUUGC